CCAAGGCUGUGGUGAGCUGAGAUUGUGCCCCUAACUCCAGCCUGGGUGAUAGAGCGAGACCUGUCUGAAAAAAACAAAAAGCAGUCCUGCAUUCUUCAGUAUUUUUUUAUAGAUGGGAUCUCCAAUGAUGAUGAUGUGUAGCUGAGCCCAGUGAGAAGACAAUGAGAUAUGUUACACCAAACCUGUCUCUCUUUUGAAUCAACACUUUGAUGUGAGCACUCUGACCUCUGGAGAACAGUGACUCUCAAUUUUAGGGAGCAUUAAAAUCACCUGGAGAGGUAGUAAUUAAGAUUCCUGGAUAGAAUCCCCAGAGAUUUUGAUUUAGUAGGAGGUAGGUCUGAGAAUCCACAUUUUUAACAUGUGUACGAAUGAUGCUAAUGCUGUUCUUAAAUUAAUAAAGUAAAAAAAAAAAAGCCCCACUGGAACAAGGAAGAUUCUUCUAUAUACAGCUGCAUGCUUAUAGGUACUUAAUGUUUAAGUAAUUGCAAGAAGCUGGUUAAGAAUAUUUGGGCAUCUGAAGGAAAUUAAUAUGAAAUAGACUUUUCACUCUUAAAUAUUUUUUGAGCUGGGUAAAGUAUACUAGUAUUACCUAUUUAAAAAGCAAAUAAAUACAUAUGUUUUCCAACUCCCAAUUAAAUAUAAAUGAACAUACUUUUUGACCCAGCAAUUUACUUCUAGGGAAAUAUACCACAGAUAUUUGUAAACAUGUGCAAAGGACAAACUUAUUCAUCACAACAUUUUUUUCCCAAGCAAUAGGUUAAAAAGAUAAAAGUCCAUCAAGUAGUGAACUAGUGAAAUAAACUACAUGUUGCUCAGUGGAAUAAUAUGCAACAUAUAGAAAGAAUAUAAACUAAUAAUGUACUGACGUGGAAUAACCUCUAUGACAUAAUUUGAAUGGAAAGGUGCAGAAAGGAGUAUAUAUUAUGCUAAUAUUAUACAGAUAAGGUAGAAAUAUUUUUAUAUGUUAGCAUACAUAUUCAUAAGCUAUCCUGGAAUACAAUAUGAUUGAUAUCGCUGGUUGUCUCUGAGAAGGGAAAGGGAUGCCAGGCAUCUGGGUUAAAGAAUUUUUAUCCUAUACUCUCUUGUACCUUUUGAGUUAUGUGAUUAUGUUACCUAGUAAAUAUUUUUCAAAAACUACUUGGUAGAUAUCUUUCCAUUUAAGGAAACACAGUUAUCUAAUUUUUAAAUGACUGAACUGAUAAUGCCUUGUAUUUACUAGAUUUAACUAAUUCCCUAUUGAUGAGCUCUUAGAAUGCUUCUAGUUUUUCACUAUUGUAAAUAUCCUUGUGGUAAAUAUACUUGAAUACAUUUUUAGACAUAUGUGCAAAUACCUUUUAGCAGAAAAUUAUUAGACUUAUGGUAAAAAAUAAUUAAAAUUUGAUUGUUAUAGCUAUGCAAAUAUUAAGCUCAUCUUUUUGUUGUUAUUGUUACUUGUAACAGCUUAUUGCAUGUUAGGAAGUUCGAGAAUUUUAGCUGCCCAAAACACUUUUUCUUCCCCUAAUUUUCAGUUCCAGAAAUUCUUCUUUCUUGUGGAGAAUAUCAUUAGCAUGUUUUGGGAGGGGCUAACUCUGCCUUACCUAUUUCCAAAGAUGGGCAUGUGACCCAGGCCUGGCCAGAGUAAACAAAUCAUGCUCUAAUGAUUUGUUUGUAUUUGGAUUGGUGACCCAGGCUGAGCCAAUGAAAAUCAUCCCUAAUGUAUUUUACAGUAACAGUUGGGGUAGUGUGUUUUCCUUUGAGGUUCCUGAGAUUCUUGUAUAUGAGGCUGGAAUGAUUAAUGGCCAUCCAUAUUACCUGGAUAUGAGGCAAUUUUUUAAAAAAGUAUUGGUAACAGAUAGAUGAUAAAGUGAGCUAGAUUAGAUAGAAAAAUAGAUAAUGCCUUGAUGACACAGUUUGAGGUCCUCAAUGAGUUGUGCCAGAUGUAUACAUACAUCCACAACAUAUGUAUAUUUGUUGAAAACUUCAUUCUUUCCUGGUCAUAUAUACUAUAUUUUCCCCAGUGUUCUGCUUGUCUUUAUUUUUCGUUAUUUUUGCUAUACAUUUUAAACAUUUUUUUUUACAUGAUAAAUUUGUUCAUCUUCUUUAAGGUUUCAUUUCCAGCUUAAAAAAAACUUUCUAAAUCGAUUUUUUAAAGACCGUAAGUAUUAUUUUUGUAUUUUUAACUUUAUGUCUAAAAUUGGAAAUUAACCUUUGGUGUGCUGUGAGGAAGAUAAUCCCAUUUUUUUAAAAAAGAGUAAUACAUUAUAUAAAUGUGUGUAUACACACAUACACAUGUUGAAAUAAUUAUCUCUGGCUUUCAUUGGGUGGUGGUAUAGCCAAGUGCCCCAUUUUUAAAAGGAAAACAUGAUGUUUUUUUUUCCUUUACCCCACUUCCUACUUAGCUCUUUAGGAAUGCAAUUAUAACCUUUACCAUCUCUCCAUCAGGUGCAGCAAGUUUAUCUGUUUACUUAGAAGUUCCAGAGACUAAAACGUGAAGCAAAUCAGGCCCAUCUGGAACUCUCAGACACCAGGAGACUGCCUGAAUUUACAAGGUAGCUGCCUGCCGAGGCACCAGCCAGACUACCUGAUAGCAGGAAGAAGAACAGACAUAAAACAUAACAGGAAGCUGUGGUGCUCCAAAAAUAUCACAGGAUCGAAUGACACGAAAACCUUCACCAAACUUGGGACCAUGACACCAUUCACACUUGGAGGUGCUGAAAUGGAGGAAACAGCAAAUCAAGAGAUGUGAAAGCUGACCACAGAAGAAAGAAAGAUAUAUAACGUAAUAUAGAGAUUCCUUGGCUUGGGAGAAAGCAUGGAGCAAGAAGGAAAAGAAAGUGGGUUAAGACAUAAGUCUGUGGCCUGUUCGCUGCUCUCAGCCCAAGCAGUUGGUUGUUGAGUAGAAAUGAGGAAGAUGGAAGUGAAGAGGAGGCGAUCUCUCAAGAAUCUGAGAAUCCUUGAAUUUUCUAAGUAGGAAACCAACAGAGAAGAAACUCAAUAAAGCAAAAAUGGCAGCAUGACAUGGAAGAGACCCAGAAGUUAAUUUACAUCACAGACAAGGAUACAAAAGUUCUGGGAGGAAUGGAGGGCUGUUGUUGGAGUGUUCUGCUAUGUACAAUCUCUUAUGAAAUGCAGCUAUUUGAAUUAUUAAUUUGUUAUAUUAUUUUUAUUGUUCUAGAAUUUUAUUUUACUCAUUUUUAAAAACAAAAAUACCAGUUUUGUGGUGAAAUUCUCCAAUGAUCUGUUUAUUUUCUUGGACAUAGUAAUCAUAGUCCUUUUUAAAUCCAUUUGAAACUCUAAUAUCUGAAUCAAAUAUAGGGCUAUUUCUAUUGCCUUUCUUUCUACUGUUUUUCAGAUAUUUUGUUUUUUUUAGAAUGCUUUGUAAUUUUUUUAAUUUAAUGCUGGACUUUGAGUAUGAACUAUUUUAACAAGUCUGGAUAAUGCACUCUCUCUUGCUCUCUCUCUCUCUCUCUGGCUCUCUCACUCUCUCAGCAUGUGUUAGGUUUUCCUUGAUUAGGCAGAGAACACCAUUAUCAAAGAUUGAUUUGAGCUUUGUUAGGGCUUGGCUAUUUUGGUUUUGUCCUCUUUCCUAGAACAUCCUCUUUAUUCCUAAGGCAUGGAAUUUCAAUUCCAAUGUGUUUAUAAAAGCCCCAACACUUUGUCAGAGCUUGAACUCUACUAUCCACCCCUUGUGCAACCACAAAACUCUAUGAUCAAUUUCUUAUCUCUCAGCUGAUGUUUUCUGCUGUGUUUCUUGGAGUCUUGUUCUACACAAGCACAGCUUAGAAAUCAGCUAGCACCCUUGAGGGAGUCUGUGUGCAGAUUUCUUUCCAGGAGAUUGUGAUAUAGUUUGGAUGUUGUCUUCUGUAAAUCUCAUGUUGAAAUGUAAUCCCCAAUGUUGAAUGUGGGUCCUGGAGGGAGGUGUUUGGGUCAUGCAGGCAGAUCUCUUAUGGCUUGGUGCUGUCCUUGUGAUAGUGAGUGUAAUUCUCAUUAGAUCUUGUUUAAAAGUACGUGGCAGGCCGGAUGUAGUGGCUCACACCUGUAAUCCCAGCACUUUUGGGAGGCCAAGAAGGGUGGAUCACUUGAUGUCAGGAGUUCGAGACCAACCUGGUCAACAUGGUGAA